AGGAAGAAACUAAAGAAAAGGCAUCUCAUGGAUAUCUCACCAUGUGACCAGGGAGAAGAUUAUGAUGCAGAUUCAAGUGGUGGAUCAAACAUGCUUUUGCCACCAGGAGCAGUUCUGCCCUGUUCAGGCCACUACCAACUCUCUUCCCAUCAUGAGCUGCACCACCCAGAUGGGACAUGCCAGUGAAGCACUGAUUCAUGUCCUUCAGAAGAUCCAGCAUCAGCCCUGUUCUGCUCUUUGAAGGGUCCCGCUGUCUUAUUGCAGUUGGAACCACUCCCAUCACCACAUUUGCCACAGAUGACCUUGGAGAAGGUUUGCUGUGUCUUAUGGCAUACUACUACACCCUGCAUCUCACCUAUCCUAAAUGUGUGGCAACGCUUCUGUCUGUCAUUCAGACUGAAGUGUUAAAGGACAAAAUCCAUGAGUAAGACACCACAGGCUCAUACAAAAAAGUCAUGGCAGGCUGUAGAAAUUUUUUAUUGAAACGUAGAGCUGUUUGAGCAAGAUGUAUCUUAGGUCUGUGUUGGAAGGUUUGGACCUGAUAGCUUUGAAGUUGCAAUUUACACUUGAAUUCUUUUUUUAAAAUUCUUAUUAAUGUAAUACAGUGCUUCUUUCUUCACAUCUGUUCUGCAAAUUCUGUUUAAAAUUGCAAAUGCUCUUUUUAUUACAUUUUAUAUGUUGAGUAGCUAACUGGUUUAGCACUUCUAAAAGGAACACAAAAUAACAAUGUUACACUUACAGUGUGUCUUUAAAUUUUUGUGUACUAUGAUUUACUGAAAUAUUUGUUACUGUUUGGAGAGUUUGUUUCCAAUAAAGGUCAUGUACACAGUA